GAUGAACGCUAGCGAUAGGCUUAACACAUGCAAGUCGAGGGACCGGCGCACGGGUGCGUAACGCGUAUGCAACUUGCAUCACAGAGGGGGAUAACCCGUCGAAAGACGGACUAAUACCGAGUUCAGUGAGUUAGGCAUGCGUCCCAUUAGCUAGUUGGUGAGGUAACGGCUCACCAAGGCAACGAUGGGUAGGGGCACUGAGAGGUUGAACCCCCACACUGGUACUGAGGCACGGACCAGACUCCUACGGGAGGCAGCAGUGUGGAAUAUUGGGCAAUGGGCGAGAGCCUGAACCAGCCAAGUCGCGUGAAGAAUGACUGUCUAUGAAAUGUAAACUUCUUUUGUAGGGGAAUAUGUACCCUACGAAUAAGCAUCGGCUAACUCCGUGCCAGCAGCCGCGGUAAUUC
rnacentral:rRNA from 1 species